rnacentral:rRNA from 1 species
GAGUUUGAUCAUGGCUCAGGAUGAACGCUGGCGGCGUGCCUAAUACAUGCAAGUCGUACGAACAGCGGAAAGUGCUUGCACUUUCCAAGUAAGUGGCGAACGGGUGAGUAACACGUGAAUAACCUACCUCAAAGGUCUGGGAUAACCAUUGGGAAACAGUGACUAAUACCGGGAUAAAACCUAGUAGCACAUGCUACAAGGUUAAAGCUGCGUUUGCAGCGCUUUAAGAUGGAUUCGCGGUGCAUUAGUUAGUUAGGUGAGG